rnacentral:rRNA from 1 species
UACAGAGGAGCCAAGCGUUGUCCGGAUUGACUGGGCGUAAAGCGUGCGCAGGCGGUUAUGCAAGACAGAUGUGAAAUCCCCGGGCUCAACCUGGGAACUGCAUUUGUGACUGCAUGGCUAGAGUGCGGCAGAGGGGGAUGGAAUUCCGCGUGUAGCAGUGAAAUGCGUAGAGAUGUGGAGGAAUACCGAUGGCGAAGGCAGCCCCCUGGGAUAACACUGACGCUCAUGCACGAAAGCGUGGGGAGCAAACAGG